UACGAAGGGGGCUAGCGUUGUUCGGAAUCACUGGGCGUAAAGCGCACGCAGGCGGAUCGUUAAGUCAGGGGUGAAAUCCCGAGGCUCAACCUCGGAACUGCCUUUGAUACUGGCGAUCUUUGAGUCCGGGAGAGGUGAGUGGAACUCCGAGUGUAGAGGUGAAAUUCGUAGAUAUUCGGAAGAACACCAGUGGCGAAGGCGGCUCGCUGGGACGUUACUGACACUGAGGCGCGAAAGCGUGGGGAGCAAACAGG
rnacentral:rRNA from 1 species